rnacentral:rRNA from 1 species
AUUGAACGCUGGCGGCAGGCUUAACACAUGCAAGUCGAGCGGAGCGAGGGUGCUUGCACCUUAGCUUAGCGGCGGACGGGUGAGUAAUGCUUAGGAAUCUGCCUAUUAGUGGGGGACAACAUUCCGAAAGGAAUGCUAAUACCGCAUACGCCCUACGGGGGAAAGCAGGGGAUCUUCGGACCUUGCGCUAAUAGAUGAGCCUAAGUCGGAUUAGCUAGUUGGUGGGGUAAAGGCCUACCAAGGCGACGAUCUGUAGCGGGUCUGAGAGGAUGAUCCGCCACGCUGGGACUGAGACACGGCCCAGACUCCUGCGGGAGGCAGCAGUGGGGAAUAUUGGACAAUGGGCGGAAGCCUGAUCCAGCCAUGCCGCGUGUGUGAAGAAGGCCUUUUGGUUGUAAAGCACUUUAAGCGAGGAGGAGGCUCUUAAGGUUAAUACCCUUGAUGAGUGGACGUUACUCGCAGAAUAAGCACCGGCUAACUCUGUGCCAGCAGCCGCGGUAAAAC